rnacentral:rRNA from 1 species
UACGUAGGCAGCAAGCGUUGUUCGGAGUUACUGGGCGUAAAGGGUGUGUAGGCGGUUCUUUAAGUUUGGGGUGAAAUCUCCCGGCUCAACUGGGAGGGUGCGCCGAAUACUGAAGGACUAGAGUACGGGAGAGGAAAGUGGAAUUCCUGGUGUAGCGGUGAAAUGCGCAGAUAUCAGGAGGAACACCGAUGGCGAAGGCAGCUCGCUGGGACGGUACUGACGCUGAGGCACGAAGGCCAGGGGAGCAAACGGG